UUUUAAAUUUGGUCCGGCAUGACCAGUAUCCAGAACAGAAAUCCAUAGAAACAUCUCACAUCUGUAUACUAAACGGCACCUUGCGGGGUUUUACUUUGCCCGGCGGCAAGCCAUAUAUAAGUCGCAGGACCGGCCGAUCCUACGCCUAGGGCCAUGUCCCCCCUAAGAAGGGACUGGGCUCCGCCCACCCAGAAGGCUACUAUGUGCACACAGACCGAUGUCUAACCCCAUCGACUAUAGGUGUCCUAUAGAUACUGCCAAACCAUGCAUAAUGCCAUAAUGUACCCUCCCAAUACUCUACUAAAAAGGAGCAUAAUCAAGACUACCACUCACUCGACCACGACCCAAUCAUAACUAACAUCAGGGUUGGGAGUGAGGAAUCAUGGGAGUGCAAUGCAACUCAAUAUACCACUGAAAAGGGCUC
rnacentral:lncRNA from 1 species